rnacentral:rRNA from 1 species
AGUGAACGCUGGCGGUAGGCCUAACACAUGCAAGUCGAACGGCAGCACAGUAAGAGCUUGCUCUUACGGGUGGCGAGUGGCGGACGGGUGAGGAAUACAUCGGAAUCUACUUUUUCGUGGGGGAUAACAUAGGGAAACUUACGCUAAUACCGCAUACGACCUACGGGUGAAAGCAGGGGAUCUUCGGACCUUGCGCGAUUGAAUGAGCCGAUGUCGGAUUAGCUAGUUGGCGGGGUAAAGGCCCACCAAGGCGACGAUCCGUAGCUGGUCUGAGAGGAUGAUCAGCCACACUGGAACUGAGACACGGUCCAGACUCCUACGGGAGGCAGCAGUAGGGAAUAUUGGACAAUGGGCGCAAGCCUGAUCCAGCCAUACCGCGUGGGUGAAGAAGGCCUUCGGGUUGUAAAGCCCUUUUGUUGGGAAAGAAAAGCAGCAGGUUAAUACCCCGCUGUUCUGACGGUACCCAAAGAAUAAGCACCGGCUAACUUCGUG